UACGGGGGGGGGCAAGCGUUGUUCGGAAUUACUGGGCGUAAAGGGCCAGUAGGCGGCCAACUAAGUCCGACGUGAAAUCCCCAAGCUUAACUUGGGAACUGCGUCGGAUACUGGAUGGCUUGAAUCCGGGAGAGGGAUGCAGAAUUCCAGGUGUAGCGGUGAAAUGCGUAGAUAUCUGGAGGAAUACCGGUGGCGAAGGCGACAUCCUGGACCGGCAUUGACGCUGAGGCGCGAAAGCCAGGGGAGCAAACGGG
rnacentral:rRNA from 1 species